GCCAUGCGAGUCAUUGUAGCAAUACAAGGCAGACGGCUCAGUAACGCGUAGUCAACCUACCCUAUGGACGGGGAUAACCUCGGGAAACUGAGAAUAAUACCCGAUAGAACAUUAUACCUGGAAUGGUUUAUGUUUCAAAUAAUUUAUUGCCGUAGGAUGGGACUGCGGCCUAUCAGUUUGUUGGUGAGGUAAUGGCCCACCAAGACUAUUACAGGUACGGGCUCUGAGAGGAGUAGCCCGGAGAUGGGUACUGAGACACGGACCCAGGCCCUAUGGGGCGCAGCAGGCGAGAAAACUUUGCAAUGUGCGAAAGCACGACAAGGUUAAUCCGAGUGGUUUCUGCUAAAGGAACCUUUUGUCAGUCCUAGAAACACUGAUGAAUAAGGGGUGGGCAAGUUCUGGUGUCAGCCGCCGCGGUAAAACCAGCACCUCAAGUGGUCAGGAUGAUUAUUGGGCCUAAAGCAUCCGUAGCCUGCUUUGUUAGUUUUCGGUUAAAUCCAUACGCUUAACGUAUGGGCUGCCGGGAAUACUGCAAAGCUAGGGAGUGGGAGAGGUAGACGGUACUCGGUAGGAAGGGGUAAAAUCCUUUGAUCUAUUGAUGACCACCUGUGGCGAAGGCGGUCUACCAGAACACGUCCGACGGUGAGGGAUGAAAGCUGGGGGAGCAAACCGGAUUAGAUACCCGGGUAGUCCCAGCUGUAAACUAUGCAAACUCGGUGAUGCAUUGGCUUGAUGCCAAUGCAGUGCCGCAGGGAAGCCGUUAAGUUUGCCGCCUGGGAAGUACGUACGCAAGUAUGAAACUUAA
rnacentral:rRNA from 1 species